UCACGUGCACCACUCCGUUUCCUAUCCCUCUAACUCUUCAAUCUAUGGACAGACAGAGCUCUGAGAAAAAAUCCUGCUGCUUGUCACAAGAGGAGCUGCUGGUCCAAAAAGACAACUUGAAGAGGACUAUACACUAUUAGUCACCUGUGAACAGAAAAAGGUUUGCACGUUGUUAUGGAUUUUUGAAGCUGGAACACAGUCACUGGCCAAUUUACAAGGCUCCCAUCUGAAGUUUUUUCACUUUUGAAAAAGAGGUGUUGAAGAAUGCUCCCAGGUUUGUUAUUCUCUUUCACUAGCAUUCACAUAUUAAACACGCAAUCAAAUUGACUUUAUAUAAUGCUGCCGAGUUGAAGUCUGGACUAAUUACACACUAGAUGUUGUCAGAAGAAUGAACUAAAGAUAAAGCAACAGUUUCCUGUUGCGAGAUAUCUUCGAGAUGAAAAAGAGCCCUUGUAAUGUGUACAGCACACUGUAAGCUGUUGACUGACUUCAUAGUACGCCGAUGUUGCAAAACUCAAGAUUUCUUUAUUGGCAUGCUGAGUUGGAGUCUGGAUGUGUUAGAUUGAAGUUUUUAGACGAAUGAUAAAGAGAAUGCAACAAUUGCCUGCUGGCAAGCUAUCUCGGAGAUGAAGAACGGCCCUUCAAGCUGUUCACUGACUUUAUAGUACGCCGAGUCUAUCUUUGUGCACAAAAACAAGACGAAUAUAAAUACAUGCCACCGUGGGGAUGUGAAGACACGGACAUGAUAAUGAGAGACAUAAUGUAGCUGAACAGAAAUUAAAUAUAUAUCUUGUUCUUGUCUUCUUUGUCUUUGAAUUGUGACCUUUUGAAGCAUGA